AAGAGAACGGAAUACCAGUAAGUUUAUAGUAACGAAUGUACUCAUUUGUUCCUUCAACAAAGAUGUCACCUUCAUUUGAAGGAACAAAUGAGUACAUUCGUUACUAACUUACUAGUAUGACAAAUA